ACAACGCUCCCCCCUUCCCUAGGGGGAAACUGAAGGGAAAAAAGGUCCCUUGCCCCCCCUUUCCACACACACAAACAGAGCAGGCAGUGGAAAGAUUAGCCACGGUCGUGCCGGCGCGUUGUCACACGGCGGAGGAGCGACUAAUACGUUUGGAUUAGUAAAAUCCCGCAAGUGCGUCUCGAAUGCCCAGCCGGAACAGGCGUGUGACAUCAUCAACCACGACUUGAGGGGGGGGGGGGGGGGGGGGGGGAGGGAUUCCGCGAACCGUGAAAACACAUCCCCAUACACACGCGUCAUGGUAUUCACCCGGUGGCUAAUUGAUUUUGCUGCCCUCCCGCACACACAGGAUCCGCGCGCACAUCUCUAAGCACACUGUAGUACAGUGGAGUGGUGUUGGUGGAGAAGAAGAAGCCUUGCACGCUUCGACGCGCACGCACACACACACAACUUUUUUGUUGGAGCCAAAGGAGAGCCACAAGAAGAAGUACAACACACACCCGUGCAAAACAUUAGAAGUGUUGUAGCUCCCCUCGUUUGCAAGUGAAUCAAUCCGAUCCGCACUGACGACGUUUUGCACGCACGCGUUCACGACGCGCGUCGAUCAAAAUCCGAUCCGAUGGUUCCCUUUUUUGUUGUUGUUGUUGUUUUCGGUACAGCACGCCAAACGCCAAACCAACCACCAGCACCCGAGGAAGCCGUACCCGCGUGUGUGUACAUCGAAUCGCGUACUGACGAACCGGCGGCAACCGGCGGAGUGGCCAAGCGAGUGUGAGCCAGCGUGCGCGCGCGCACACACUCUCGCGCGCCCCUUACUCUCUCGCCAGCCGUCUAAAAUAAACCUAAUUUGAUGCCACCUCCGUGGCACUAAGCGGACAGCAGACAUCAGGGUCCGAAAUGAAAAGCCCCCUCCGCCACCGGAAACCAUUUAGCCGUCGUGCUAAAAAUGCUAUACCAGAGCGAUAUUGACCCGACGGCGGUCACGGUGAAGGACAGCGAUUAUGUGAUGCCGCCCGGAGGGGACCCGCCGGCAUUUGGCAAAAUAUGCUAAUCACGGACGGAUUUUGAUUAUAAAGUUCGUUGCUCCCUCAUCCUCCUCCCACUACUGAAAGAGGGGUGGGGAGAGUGGGUAAUUGUUCUUACCAGUCUGGGUAAAUGAGCUCGGCUUAAUGCGUCACCCAUCAUGCUCGGUGCUGAAGAAGGAAAAACUUACUUAUGCUUUCGUUGUAGUUAACUCACAAGCGUUUUAGACAAAAGUGGCAUUACAUACAGUGGCAAUAGGGGCUAGGGUCCAAAAAGCUUGGCAACAAAUGGAAACCAACCCGUUUUUUUGCUCUCCCUCCCAUUGCACACUCCGCUUGAUGGUCGCGAAUUCGAUCGAACUAAUUAUUGUUCGCAUACUCUAUGAAAAAGAUGCCCAUUUUGUGCGCAAGCACUAACUGGAAAGUAGGGCAAAGGGAAAUGCAUAACGCAAGCUAAAGAAAAAGGGAAAACGAACGUUCACUUUCGGCGGGGUUUGGGUGAAGAAAACGUGAAGGUAGAAUCGUUAGAAAUUAAAUUGUUUUCUUUGUAACAGUUUUCUUUUUAGAAUGAUAAAGCUUACGAACGGACGAACAAAGUGGAAGCAACACAACACACCGCCUGUUACGACACCGCUUUCGUUGGCGGUUCUGUCUGAGUAGCUGCCGCCACCAACGACGAUGUCGGAACUCCCUCCCGAUUGGGAAGAAAGUUUAAAAUCAUCAACAGCAGAAGAUCCUCCUUUCCAAAAAAGCUGAGCGCCGCUUGGUUUGCGUGCCAGCCAGCCAGCAUGUGUGGCUUUUUAAUGUGUUAAUCAAUUGCCUUAUUAAUUCAUUACUUCCUCCCCACCCCGGCCAGCGGAAUCGCAAUUCGCUUUCUGGAAGCCACAAAGCACAGACACAGACGAAUGGACACCGCGGCCGCCGUAUGGAAAAUCUAUAGGCAGGCAGGCAGGUAGGCGACGAACCGACCAGUUCGGCGUAUUGCUUAUUUUGCAAUUGGUGGAUUUGAAAAUUCACUUUCUCUAAUGAAGAAAAACUUUCCAUUUCCAUCGCCCGAUGCAUCCGUGUGGCGAUGUAACAACGCACGCUCGCGCUCAUUUGUCUAACUCUGCCUUUGCCUUUUUCGUAAUGAGGCGCCACGUGGCUUAGAACACUGAAGUUGUUACUUACCCGCUGCCAAACUGCAUCGAUCCACGCGGCGCACGUACGGCCGUGCCCGGUCAUCCAAUCGAUUGCCGUGCGGCAAUAGAGGUGACAGGUGUGCAGCAGGAUCAAGAAAUGAUCCAUAAAGCCGGCCAUUGCGUGGGCGAUCGAGGUUGUUUUGAUGAAGCUUCAAUCAAACUGUCUCUUUGGGUUUGACUCGAAGCACAGUGGCACCUUUAAACACACUUCAAUGACACAACCGUGGCGCACCAGAACACCACACACACGCUCAUCACUUCGUCAUCGGUAUGCUACCAGCGAGCGACUGAAGGGACUAACGCCGGACCAAGCAAAUCACAGGGCAGCAAUGACCGCAGGCGCGCGCAAACACACAAAAGCAUAAGCACAUGCUUCCCUUUACCGUUUGUAGCCACCAGCCGUCCAGAACCCUCGGCGUGUGUGUGUGUGUGUGCGUAUAGUUGUACGCCACCAGUAGGCCGUUUUGUGUUUCAAAUGUGUUUGACGGACGGAACGGAAUCAUCCAAUUCGCUUCACACCGGGUGGGAGCGUGAUGGGGUGGCGUACAUCCGUCCGGGAGCGAAGUUGUGCCGGGCUGAAACUGGUAAAA